rnacentral:tRNA from 1 species
AACGUUGUAGUUUAUUAAAGAAUUUUGGGGUUGCAUUCCAAAGGUGGAUAUUUUCUCUUCGUUA